UAGGGAAUCUUCCGCAAUGGACGCAAGUCUGACGGAGCAACGCCGCGUGAGUGAAGAAGGAUUUCGGUUCGUAAAACUCUGUUGUUAGAGAAGAACAGCGCAUAGAGUAACUGUUAUGCGUGUGACGGUAUCUAACCAGAAAGCCACGGCUAACUACGUGCCAGCAGCCGCGGUAAUACGUAGGGCGCAAGCGUUAUCCGGAAUUAUUGGGCGUAAAGAGCUUGUAGGCGGUUCGUCGCGUCUGGUGUGAAAGCCCAUCGCUUAACGGUGGGUUUGCGCCGGGUACGGGCGGGCUAGAGUGCAGUAGGGGAGACUGGAAUUCUCGGUGUAACGGUGGAAUGUGUAGAUAUCGGGAAGAACACCAAUGGCGAAGGCAGGUCUCUGGGCUGUUACUGACGCUGAGAAGCGAAAGCGUGGGGAGCGAACAGG
rnacentral:rRNA from 1 species